CGUCACUGUCUGUACUGCUGCGCGAGUGCGCGUGCCCGUCAUUAACGGUCAACUUCCAGCAGACGGACACGGAGGAAAAGGUCCUGACUGCCACCAGUCGAGUCAAUGAUUCAGUGGAGAGACAAUCUGGGCAGCAGCAACAAGACAACUAUUACGAGUAGAGAUGGGUUUCAAGAUCCAGGUGCAAGGUGCAAUAAGAUGCAAGGAUCCAGGAUCAAGAGAUCAUUCAUCAUGAAGACUGUUCAAUAGGAAGCAGCGAAUCCUGGGUGAAAAACUAAACCUGGUUGUUUCAGCAUCACUCAGGCAAGGCAAAAUACAUUUAAAUUGAUUUCAGUAGGUUAUAUGUUUCAGAUCAUCCUGACCAUUCUGUUGUCCUGGAUUUGAAGACAUGCUGGAACUGUAUUUCUCGUGGCUGAAAGAUUUGUGCAGCGGUAUCCAGACAUAUAAGCACCCUUCCUGGACCCACACGACUAAAGGCUCUGGAGGAGAGACAGCUGCCGGAGAAGGAUAUUGACGAUGCAGGCUCAGGACGGCGAAGAGGAGGAAGAACACCUUUAACAUAAUUUUCUCAUACCUUUGUCAUGUGUUAUAAUAAAAACAAUAAACCUGACUACAAUAAUAUGGUAAAUUUUAUUAAAAGAUUCCAGUUUGCAAGGAAUCUGGAGUCUCUGACUCUGCCCUAAAGGAACUCUUUGCUGAGGAAGACCAAGUGCUGAGGAGGAGCCUUGUUCUACAGCAAAACACUGCAUCAACCCUCCAUGACAAGAUGAAGAGUGAAGAGUCUCCUCCUGUCCUUCCCUCAGAAGAGCCUGUCUUCUGCUGCUGGGGUAAGAACGACACUCUUCCUCGUCUCUCACAGCCAUCCAGCACCUAACUCUGCCUCCUCAGCACUGUCUGAAAGAGUCUUCUCCACAGUCAGUAAUCAGAGAUCACACAUUCUCCAGAGAAAGUCAACACGCUCAUUUUCCUAAACAAAAACUGUUUAUGUUUUGUGGGUGGGCCAAAUUAUACAGGAGUGAUGCUAGAAAUCUUUAUAUUGUUCAUUUUACAUAUCUUUACUCUUUAUGAAUGUUAUUUUCUUUAUUUAUUUUAUCUUCUGAGAAGCCCAAGAACUAUGGUUCUUUGGUAAUUGUAACAUUGUUUAGGUUUAUCUUCUGAUAGUGAAGCAGUAUUAAAGCACAUCAGCACCAGAUAUUAAUGAAGUAUCUACUGAAUUGUUUCAUAUCUUUUUUAUCAUGUCUUUAUUUUUUUGCACCAAAUUAAGGGAGUUGUAUCAAUAAGAGUACUGAUAAUUAUUGAUAAUUUUCACUGAUAACAGCAUUAUUUAACUAUGCCCAACCUUAAUGAGACACAAACUUUUUCAGUUGAUUGGUAACACUUUGCAUGGUUAAAGAACAGGUGUAAUGUUUUGGUUUAGUAUUUGUAGAAAGUAACACUGAAUAAAUGUUGAUUCAUGAAUGAAUGCAUUGUGUUUUUGUCUAUUUUCUAUUAGAAUUUAAUGUUUUUGAAUUGGUUUGCACUGCAUGUAUGUAAUGAAUGUAUUUACUAUAAAUCCCCUAUAAUUAAAUUACUGUUAGAUUUUAUAAGUUUUCUUUUUUGCACCAAAGAUGAGUUUUCAAGGUUAUUUCAAGGUAAUAGUCGGAACACAUUCUCAGGACCCAGACUAAAGGCGAGGUGUAAAUAUUAAAAUUAAAAAUUAACGUGGUAUUUUAGUCCUUAGGACAUACUUGGUACGUUGCUGCGACCAAUAUGAUCCGG